GACGAACGCUGGCGGCAUGCCUAACACAUGCAAGUCGAGCGAGUUGAUCCCUUCGGGGUGAAGCUAGCGGCGGACGGGUGAGUAACACGUGGGCAACCUGCCUCAUAGAGGGGAAUAGCCUUCCGAAAGGAAGAUUAAUACCGAAUAACAUUACAGCUUCGCAUGAAGCAGUAAUUAAAGGAGCAAUCCGCUAUGAGAUGGGCCCGCGGCGCAUUAGCUAGUUGGUGAGGUAACGGCUCACCAAGGCGACGAUGCGUAGCCGACCUGAGAGGGUGAUCGGCCACAUUGGGACUGAGACACGGCCCAGACUCCUACGGGAGGCAGCAGUGGGGAAUAUUGCACAAUGGGGGAAACCCUGAUGCAGCAAUGCCGCGUGAGUGAUGACGGCCUUCGGGUUGUAAAGCUCUGUCUUCGGGGACGAUAAUGACGGUACCCGAGGAGGAAGCCACGGCUAACUACGUGCCAGCCGCCGCCGUAA
rnacentral:rRNA from 1 species